UACGGAGGGAGCUAGCGUUGUUCGGAAUUACUGGGCGUAAAGCGCACGUAGGCGGCUUUGUAAGUUAGAGGUGAAAGCCCGGAGCUCAACUCCGGAAUUGCCUUUAAGACUGCAUCGCUAGAAUCAUGGAGAGGUGAGUGGAAUUCCGAGUGUAGAGGUGAAAAUUCGUAGAUAUUCGGAAGAACACCAGUGGCGAAGGCGACUCACUGGACAUGUAUUGACGCUGAGGUGCGAAAGCGUGGGGAGCAAACAGGG
rnacentral:rRNA from 1 species